GAUCCUGGCUCAGGACGAACGCUGGCGGCGCGCCUAACACAUGCAAGUCGAACGGAGCUUAGAGAGCUUGCUUUUUAAGCUUAGUGGCGAACGGGUGAGUAACGCGUGAGUAACCUGCCCUAGAGUGGGGGACAACAGUUGGAAACGACUGCUAAUACCGCAUAAGCCCACGGUACCGCAUGGCACUGAGGGAAAAGGAUUUAUUCGCUUUAGGAUGGACUCGCGUCCAAUUAGCUAGUUGGUGAGGUAACCGG
rnacentral:rRNA from 1 species